rnacentral:snRNA from 2 species
GUGCUCGCUUCAGCAGCACAUAAACUAAAAUUGGAAUGAUACAGAGAUUAGCACAGCCCCUGCGCAAGCAGUUGCAUAUUUUU